rnacentral:lncRNA from 1 species
AUGAUGGAGCAUGAUAAUGUGAGAAAAAAGAAUCUGUGCGUGUAUGUGUAACUGAGUCACCAUGCUGUGCAGUGGAAGAUUGACAGAGUAUGGUAAACCAGCUAUAAUGGAAAAAAAUAAAAAACAGUUAUAUAUUUUUAAAAAAGAGUUUCCUGGUGGCCUAGGGGUUAAGGAUUUGGCCUUGUCACUGCAGCAGCUCAGCUGGAUGCUGGAAUUUACUACAAAUCACCACUUUGUGUUCAAAACAAAGUGACAUCUUGACUUGUCUUGUUGAUCAGAUAACUAUUUACAUUCUUAAACUUUCUCCUAAGCAUCCUGUGACCUGAAGACACAGAAUGAAGAUAAAGGUUUGGAAACCCACAGGAAAGAGAACAGUACACUCUGUCCACACUCUCCCUCACAGGAACCACUCCUCAGCCCUUGAGAUGCAGACCAGACGGCACCUCUCGUAGGAUGCUGCCAUCACCCUGACUCGUGUGGUGCCUGCAGAAUGCCCCAUCCUUUAGCAUUCUUUGAAGACCUCAACUCCAGCCCACAGCACAGAGCCUUACUCCUCUCUGAUCACCUGUCUGGGCUCCCUAAGGCAGGGGUAUCUCAUUAUCCAUCUUUGAUUCUGUAGCAACUAUAACAGUGCAUGAUGCUUGACAGUUCUUCAAAACAUCAAUUGAACGGUAACUCACUGAACGAAUGGAGGAAAAAAAGGCAUGAGCAUGAAAGAGGGAAUCAGAAAUAGACUCUCAGACAUGGAGAGCCGACUCGUGGUUUCCAAGGGGGAGGGGGAGGGAAUGGGAAGGACCAGGGGUUUGGGGUGGGUAGAUGCAGACUAUUACACUGAGAAUGGAUGAGCAAUGAGGUCCUGAUGUUUAAUACAGGGAGCUACAUCCAAUCAUUUGUGAUGGAACAUAAUGGAAGAUGACAUGAGAAAAAGAAUGUGUAUUUUAUAUAUGUAUAUAUAUGUGUGUGUAUAUAUAUAUGUAUAUAUGACUGGGUCACUAUGCUGUAGAAUAGAAAUUGACAGAACAUUGUAAAUCCACUCUAAUAAAAAAAUUUCAAAAAAGAAAAAGGGAAUCAGAAUGGCUUCCAGAGACCCUGAGAAAUCAAGAAUAGGGACAUUCAAAAACAAGGUGGAAGAGGGAAGGAAUAGGGUUCAGGAAGGAGGGAGCAUGUUGUUCCCUGAUUCCCAAUUUGAGGUGGAAGGAGAACAGAGGAGGGAGGGGUGGUUAACACAAGCCCCUGCCCAUCCCCGGGGUCUGGGGCUGGUCCUGUCUUUUUCUGGCUCAGAGCUUGAUGAGAAGAGGCUCGCGUUCCCAUUUGUAAAGUGGAAAUAAUAGCCGUCGUAGAUCCCUAGGAUGGUUAUGAACACGAAAUCAGACCGUGCGCAUAAAGCACCGAGGAGAGUAUGCACACGUCGAGUAGCUAUUAGGGAUCAUUGUGCUGGGCGAUGAAUUCUAAUGGUUACCAGAACAAUUCGCAGGAGCAGCACACACUCAUUAAUCCUAAUCCAUGCCCUGUGUGAGGCUGAGUCUGCCAGGCAUUUUAAGGCAUGAAGAGAUCUAAGACCCAGCCAUCCCAUCCUUCUCAAAAGGCUUCAUAUAGUUGUAGAGUCAGACCAUCUCGCCUCUACCCAGAGGGUCUUUCCUAUCCUCUCCCUCCCCCAAGCCGGAGCUGCCAAGAAAAGCCAGCACUUGGACCCUGAAAAACACACCAUACUGUGUAAGUGGGACUUAGCAUGGGGUUGUCGAACCUCAUACCUUAUGAGCAGCUUCAUCUGCCAUAACUUAGAUUGUGAUGGGAAAUAAAAUGCAAGCACGGCGAAGAGCUCACUGCGCACGGCAAGACAUGUUUUAUCUCUAGCCACCAAGUGGAAUUGCAUUCCUGUUGUGAAACCCAGAUUGAUGCAUGCGUUUUAUUUAUAACCCUUUCUCUCCAAGUUCCUCCAAGUUACAAGUUAGCAAUGAAAGUUUGCAGUGGCUUUUAAAAGGCCUGCUGGCACCUCCGCUGACAGUCAGCUUCUUGUAAGUGACAGGAACAGACCUCAGGAUCACCGAGAGUCAACAGGCAGUGCAGAAUGGACCUGUCCAAGAAAGAAUGGUGAUGAUGGAAGGGGAGAGGCGGAAAGUCAAACGAGUGAGCCUGUUCCUGCAGGUCAAACCCACCAUACCAGCAUCUCGCACUGGCCAUCAUCCAAUCAGUGGUGCUUUCUCCCUUCAACAUCUCCUGGAGUCUGAGCAGGACAAGAACCUCCUUCUAAUCCAUCUGCCUGUUCUCCAUCCUUCUCCUCCAGUGGCUGCAGAGAACCCACACAGAACCAUUUAGCUGGCAGUGCCCUGAGUUUGGUGAUCAUUUCUCAUUUCUAAACACUCAUGAUGUGCUAAGCGGCAAGGUAGAAGGUGUGUUAGCCAAGAAGCAUCAACCCUGAAGAGCAGAGACAACCAAAUCAAAGAUAAGGGCUUUGGAAAACAAUCCAGAAGCUCCUCAGAGAAUUAAACAUAGUGUUACCACAUGACCCCUCAGAUUCCAUUCCUAGAUAUAUACUCAAAAUAACUCAAACAGGUGUUUAAACAACACAUGUACACACGUGUUCACAGCCACAUUAUUCACAACAGUCAAAAGGUAGAAACAGCCCAAACAUCCAUCAGUAGAUGAAUGGAUAAAAUAAAUCAUGGUCUAGCCAUACAAUGGAAUAUUAUUUACCCAUAAAAAAGGGAUGGCAUAUGAAUGGAUGUGAUGGAUGGUCCUCAAAGCUAUUACGCUAAGUUUAAGAAGCCAGAAACAAAAAAUUGCGUGAUGUGAUUCCAUGUAUGUGAAAUAUCCAGAAAAGGACAACCCACAGAGACAAAAAGAGAUUAGUGGUUGCCAGGGUCUAGAGGAAGAGAGAAAUGAGGAGCACCUUUAAAAAAGGGUGUGGGGUUUUCUUUUGGGGUGAUGAGAAUGUUUUGGAACUAGAUAAAGGUAGCUGCACAAUAGUCUGAAUGUACUAUAAGCCACUAAAUUAUUCACUUAAGCACCGUUAACUUUCUGUUAUGUGAAUUUUCUGUUAUUUUUUUCAAUCACGAAAAAAAAAAAAAAAAGUCAAAGAAUAGAGUUGUUUUCUAAUCCUGGGGCAUCACAGGUUAGGUGCCAAAACCCAGUAGUAAGAAGAGGGAAAAAAAGAGAGAGACCAAAGUCAUGGUCAUUGUCAGAUGUCAAGCGACAUUGAACCUUAAACAAGUGCAAGAGGAGAGUCCAUGGCUGUGAACUCUUAAUAAAGGGCCCCAGCAGACCUGACACCGAAUCUCAGUGCUAUUUUCUAGGCUGUGUAUUGAUAGGUACUUCACAUUUCUGAGCGUCUUUGUCCAUAUUGGAAACAGACAGGGAUUUCUUUUUUUUGGAGGUUGCCUCAAGAACCAAAUGCCAGUAUUUACCAAACGCUAUUGAAAGUCAUUGUGUAUAACACAUAAUAAGUGUUCAAUCAAUGGAAACUUUAAUUAUCACAUCAUCAUUAUGCAUGGAUGGUGUGGUCAGGUCCACGUGUCUCUUCUGGUGGCCCGUGGACUAUGUAGAGAUCACCACUGUUAUCCCCAUGGUGAUGAGAGAAGUACAUGAGGAUGAACCCAGUUACACGGGCGCUUCCGAGGCUUCUGCUGACAUCAUCCCUGCUAACAUUUCACUGGUCAAAUUAAGUCAUGUGAUCAAGACCCACACAAAUGAGAGAGGAAAUAUAUGCCUGGUGCUCUAAUGAGAGCAACACAGCCAAGGACAUCAAGAUAGGGAAGAUGAAAAAAACUUGAAAUGAUAACACAAAUAUACCAUGCCAUCACAAGUUAUUUUAAAUCCCAGUUUAGAGACUGGAAACCAAACACCAGAGGCUUAGCAACUGUGCCAAGAUCAUUCAGCUUGAAAAUGACAGAGCGGGGUUUAAAACCAGGUCAUCUAAUUCUAAAGCACCGUAAAGAGGAGUCCCCAUGGUUGCUCAGUGGGUCAAGAACCCAAAAGAGUGUCCAUGAGGAUGUGGGUUCAAGCCCUGGUCUCCCUUAGUGGAUUAAGGAUCUGGUGUUGCCGUGGCUGUGACGUAGACCUAUAGCUGUGGGUCUAAUUUGACCCCUGGCCUGGAAAUGUCCAUAUCCCACCCCAUUAGACUAAGUCCCAUGAAGCUGGAGACCAUGACUCCAGAACCUGAUGUCAGGCCUGACACAUAGUAGGUAUCCCAUACUACUAUGACACACAGUAGGGAUGCACAGUUAGCUAGUCAAUGAAGGGAUGGAAAACAAUGUCACAGAAAAGAAGUAAAAACAUAACGAUCAGAGCAUGAACUCUGUCUGAAUCAGCGUCCUUGUUCUCCAUUUCAAGAGCACUAAAGGACAUUUCUGACGCCCUUUUAGAUUCCGUUUUCCCCGCCCCCUUUUUCCCUUCGUUGUUACUACAUCGCAGGAUAAAACAAUAAUUAUUGUCAUCAUGUGGAUGAUUCAGUGAGAUCUCAUGAUCUUGGCUGAUCUGAUGUGUUGUUGUUUGGCAGUUUCAAAUAAGCUCCCCAUGUGGCUAUUAAAUAAAGCAGGGACAAAUGAGAGAAAUUACGCUUCCGCUUUUCACUCCAGGACAAGUUGUUAUGUUUGUCUGAAUCUAAUUUCCCUUCGUCUAGAUCACUGAACCGAACCUCAGAUAUUGCCAGUGCCAAGAGGAGAGAGUUAGCGGUGAGGCCUGGUGAAUAAUUUGCGGGGUAACUUCUGGGAGGCAAUGCACCCCCUCUGGGCGGUUGUUUCUCUUCCUUUACAUAACAGGGCCUUUGGGGCUGAGCUGAAAUGGAGGCGGUUGAGAAGGUAAACAAUACCUUCCUCCUCUGGCUUGCUCCUUCCCAGGGGGUCCUUUCCAAACUCGGUGUGUGCUUCUUACCAUUGACAAGCCCCAAGCCUUGGGGGGGGGGGAGGGAAGAGGGGGGGAAACUUUAUUACUUGAGAAGGAGGGAGAAGGUUUUGAAUUUUAUUUUAUUUUAUUUUGUUUUGUUUUAUUUCAUUUUAUUAUUUCUAGAAGAAGGAGGGAGUGGGAUUCGGGGAUUGGAAAGGUGAUAAAAGUAUUCAAAAUGGCAUGGCAUCUGCCCGUGACUCCCGUCCCAGGGUUGAUUUGGAGCUGCCUACGGAUGGAGAGGUCCAGAUACAGAAAGUACAAGAGCCUUAGGGUCAGCACACGCCAACGUCCUUUGAUCCACUCACAGCAGACAGCAGGGCAGGGCCAUGUGCCCGUCUCUAAAGAAAACGGAAGGAUGGUCUGGGAUCCCAAAACUAGAGCCAUGGGAACAUCCAGAGAUGACGUUUGGAAAUGGACAUCAGAGGUCCCCAGAUGAGCAGCAGGGAGACCCUGGAAGCAGUUACAUGGGUGGGGUCUGUGGGAAGCUGGAACAGGAGGUGUCCGAUUCAUGGAACAUGGGCUUAAGGGACACCCAGGGAAGAUGGUCCAAAAGAAUUUUUUUGUUUUGUUUUGUUUUAAAAAAUUGAAGUAUAGUUGAUUUCCAAUGUCGUGUUAGUUUCCAGAUGUCCAACAAAGUGAUUCAGUCAUACCUAUGUGCUCAUUCUUUUCACAAAUACUCUUCUCCAUUAUGGUUUAUCAAAGAUGCUGAAUAUAGUCCCUGUGCGAUACAGGAGGUCUUUCUUGUUUAUCCACUUUAUAUACACCAAGGUGUAUCUGUUAAUACCAAGCUGCUAAUGUGUCUCUUCCCUUGGCCCUUUCCACUUUGGUAACUGUAAGUUCAUUUUCAACGUCCGUGUGUCUAUUUCUGCUUUGUAAGUUCAUUUGUAUCAAAAUUUUCAGAUUCUACGUGUAGGUGGUAUCAUAUAUUUUUCUUUCUAUUCCAGAAAUAAUUUAGAUACUUCCUAGGGUACCAUAGAAGCUUGAUUUUUAGUAAUAAGUCCGUGAUUUUUUUUUCCUACAAUCAUAAUUUUGGUAUAUAAAGUAAUUGUGACCUGAUUUUUUAGCCAUAAAACAAUGAGUCCUAGACAGAAAGGACUUGCAUUUUUUUUUAAAGGAGCAAAAAAAAAAAAAAAAAAAAA